rnacentral:rRNA from 1 species
GGUUAAGCGAACAAGCGUACACGGUGGAUGCCCUGGCAGUCAGAGGCGAUGAAGGACGUGCUAAUCUGCGAAAAGCGCCGGUAAGGUGAUAUGAACCGUUAUAGCCGGCGAUGUCCGAAUGGGGAAACCCAGUGUGAUUCGUCACACUAUCUCAGCAUGAAUACAUAGUGCUGUGAGGCGAACCGGGGGAACUGAAACAUCUAAGUACCCCGAGGAAAAGAAAUCAACCGAGAUUCCCCCAGUAGCGGCGAGCGAACGGGGAACAGCCCAGAGCCUGAAUCAGCUUGUGUGUCAGUGGAACGGUCUGGAAAGGCCGGCGAUACAGGGUGACAGCCCCGUACACGAAGGCACACAGGCUGUGAGCUCGAUGAGUAGGGCGGGACACGUGAUAUCCUGUCUGAAGAUGGGGGGACCAUCCUCCAAGGCUAAAUACUCCUGACUGACCGAUAGUGAACCAGUACCGUGAGGGAAAGGCGAAAAGAACCCCGGCGAGGGGAGUGAAACAGAACCUGAAACCGUGUACGUACAAGCAGUGGGAGCCUUCGUAAGAGGGUGACUGCGUACCUUUUGUAUAAUGGGUCAGCGACUUAUAUUCUGUAGCAAGGUUAACCGCAUAGGGGAGCCGAAGGGAAACCGAGUCUUAAUUGGGCGUUAAGUUGCAGGGUAUAGACCCGAAACCCGGUGAUCUAGCCAUGGGCAGGUUGAAGGUUGGGUAACACUAACUGGAGGACCGAACCGACUAAUGUUGAAAAAUUAGCGGAUGACCUGUGGCUGGGGGUGAAAGGCCAAUCAAACCGGGAGAUAGCUGGUUCUCCCCGAAAGCUAUUUAGGUAGCGCCUCGUGAACUCAUCUUCGGGGGUAGAGCACUGUUUCGGCUAGGGGGCCAUCCCGGCUUACCAACCCGAUGCAAACUACGAAUACCGAAGAAUGUUAUCACGGGAGACACACGGCGGGUGCUAACGUCCGUCGUGAAGAGGGAAACAACCCAGACCGCCAGCUAAGGUCCCAAAGUCAUGGUUAAGUGGGAAACGAUGUGGGAAGGCACAGACAGCCAGGAUGUUGGCUUAGAAGCAGCCAUCAUUUAAAGAAAGCGUAAUAGCUCACUGGUCGAGUCGGCCUGCGCGGAAGAUGUAACGGGGCUAAACCAUGCACCGAAGCUGCGGCAGCGACACUAUGUGUUGUUGGGUAGGGGAGCGUUCUGUAAGCCUGCGAAGGUGUGCUGUGAGGCAUGCUGGAGGUAUCAGAAGUGCGAAUGCUGACAUAAGUAACGAUAAAGCGGGUGAAAAGCCCGCUCGCCGGAAGACCAAGGGUUCCUGUCCAACGUUAAUCGGGGCAGGGUGAGUCGACCCCUAAGGCGAGGCCGAAAGGCGUAGUCGAUGGGAAACAGGUUAAUAUUCCUGUACUUGGUGUUACUGCGAAGGGGGGACGGAGAAGGCUAUGUUGGCCGGGCGACGGUUGUCCCGGUUUAAGCGUGUAGGUGUGUGUUCCAGGUAAAUCCGGUUCACUUUAACACUGAGGCGUGAUGACGAGGCACUACGGUGCUGAAGUAACAAAUGCCCUGCUUCCAGGAAAAGCCUCUAAGCAUCAGGUAACACGAAAUCGUACCCCAAACCGACACAGGUGGUCAGGUAGAGAAUACCAAGGCGCUUGAGAGAACUCGGGUGAAGGAACUAGGCAAAAUGGUGCCGUAACUUCGGGAGAAGGCACGCUGACAUGUAGGUGAAGCCCCUGCGGGUGGAGCUGAAGUCAGUCGAAGAUACCAGCUGGCUGCAACUGUUUAUUAAAAACACAGCACUGUGCAAACACGAAAGUGGACGUAUACGGUGUGACGCCUGCCCGGUGCCGGAAGGUUAAUUGAUGGGGUUAUCGCAAGAGAAGCUCCUGAUCGAAGCCCCGGUAAACGGCGGCCGUAACUAUAACGGUCCUAAGGUAGCGAAAUUCCUUGUCGGGUAAGUUCCGACCUGCACGAAUGGCGUAAUGAUGGCCAGGCUGUCUCCACCCGAGACUCAGUGAAAUUGAACUCGCUGUGAAGAUGCAGUGUACCCGCGGCAAGACGGAAAGACCCCGUGAACCUUUACUACAGCUUGACACUGAACAUUGAGCCUUGAUGUGUAGGAUAGGUGGGAGGCUUUGAAGCGUGGACGCCAGUCUGCGUGGAGCCAACCUUGAAAUACCACCCUUUAAUGUUUGAUGUUCUAACCUGGCGCCAUAAUCUGGCGUGGGGACAGUGUCUGGUGGGUAGUUUGACUGGGGCGGUCUCCUCCCAAAGUGUAACGGAGGAGCACGAAGGUCAGCUAAUCCUGGUCGGACAUCAGGAGGUUAGUGCAAUGGCAUAAGCUGGCUUGACUGCGAGAGUGACGGCUCGAGCAGGUGCGAAAGCAGGUCAUAGUGAUCCGGUGGUUCUGUAUGGAAGGGCCAUCGCUCAACGGAUAAAAGGUACUCCGGGGAUAACAGGCUGAUACCGCCCAAGAGUUCAUAUCGACGGCGGUGUUUGGCACCUCGAUGUCGGCUCAUCACAUCCUGGGGCUGAAGUAGGUCCCAAGGGUAUGGCUGUUCGCCAUUUAAAGUGGUACGCGAGCUGGGUUUAGAACGUCGUGAGACAGUUCGGUCCCUAUCUGCCGUGGGCGCUGGAGAAUUGAGGGGGGCUGCUCCCAGUACGAGAGGACCGGAGUGGACGCAUCACUGGUGUUCGGGUUGUCAUGCCAAUGGCACUGCCCGGUAGCUAAAUGCGGAAGAGAUAAGUGCUGAAAGCAUCUAAGCACGAAACUUGCCCCGAGAUGAGUUCUCCCUGAGACUAUAAGUCUCCUGAAGGAACGUUGAAGACGACGACGUUGAUAGGCCGGGUGUGUAAGCGCAGCGAUGCGUUGAGCUAACCGGUACUAAUGAACCGUGAGGCUUAACCUUACAACGCCAAAGAAGUCUGG